rnacentral:sRNA from 1 species
AGUGACUAUCUCAUAAUUCUCCGACUUGUUCGUGGACGUGUCUUUGACACACUUUGAAGUCGUUUGUGGUAUGUGGCUUGUUUGCCUCUGUCUCCGACUCUCAUCGGCCUAUCCAAUCUACUUAUCGACCUAUGUAGCUAGAU